ensembl:lncRNA
CUGAUCCAAAAUCCUCAAAGCUUCAUAGAACUGAAACAAACAUUUAUUUUUAGCUCCAUUCUGCUGCUGAUACAGACUUUAGGUUUCUGAACAUUACACUUGUUGCUGCCUUUCAUAGUGUGUAACUUGAAGGCCCUGAGUACUUUCUCCCACACUGAAAACACUGGGAUGAUCACAUUAUUUGAACAUUACCUAAUAAGACUGAUUCAGGACAGACAAUUAGUUAUGUUAAACUUUCCUAGCAGUCCUUCACAAACAGGGAACAGUCUGUCUAUUCUCUCCAUCUGUCAGCUGCUGCUGGCUCUUCCUCCUCCUCUUCCUCACACACUGCUGAGUUUGUCCUGGUGGAUCAUCAGGGCUGCAAAGCCUCAUAGAUGAUAUGCAGCAGUGGGUCCCUCAGUCUGUCCUCACUCUGGACACUUGCAGUCGUCACACAUGGAAAUCAAAUGUGUGAUAAGCUGCAGGAUUCAAACACAAGUGUAACUUAUAAACACAUGUUCAUACUUUUAUUCCACAAUCAGAAAGAAACAGAGAGAGAGUGCAGGACAGACAGACAGGUGACAGUCUCAGGUGUACACACUGCUACAAACAGGAGGAUUUAGUGUUUGUGUUAUUACGAGUGCUAAACAAGAAGAGUUCCAGAUGGUGCAGUGGACACAUGUGUGACUGCUGUGAUUAAAGCAUCUUUCUUUCAGCUUAACGAGUGAACCGUCAGCUCGUUCAAACACACGUUAAAGUCCGUUUGGCUCGACACCACCGAACAGAGGCAGCAAUAUAACAUAGCUAACAUUAACAGUGCAGUGAAUCCUGCUGGUGCCGUGAUAUUCAGGACUGCAAACCGAGCAGCAUCACUGACUUUCAGCUUGUUGUGUUUGUGGAUAUAUGACUGACUUUAAUUAUCCAUAAAAUCAUCAGAUUCUCUGUAAGAUUAAGGUCGACUAUCGAACGGCGUAUAAAGGCUUUAAAACAAAGUAAACGCUGAAAGUUCAAACAUCGCUAAUGUCACAUAACUUUGCCGGCAUGUGGCCAACAGUAAUGUUUUAAUGUUUCUCAUUAUUAAACAUUUGCACAUAAAUAAGUGACAUAACAUUCAGUACUUACUUUUGAAAGUUUACUCUUUGGCUGCUCCGCUUCCACUUCUUUGAAGUGUCUCCCAGUCCCAGUGCACUUGUUAGCAUGUUUUGGUUCAUGCAACUGGUCCGUCCGCUUAUUGUCUCCCCAGAAACAUUUCCGUUGUGUUGUGUGUGCUUUUGCAGCGUUUUUCUUUUUGCAGCGUUUUUCUUUUUGCAGCAUUUUUCUUUUUGCAGCGUUUUUCUUUUUUGCAGCGUUUUUCUUUUUGCAGCAUUUUUCUUUUUGCAGCGUUUUUCUUUUCGCAGCAUUUUUCUUUUUGCAGCAUUUUUCUUUUUGCAGCAUUUUUCUUUUUGCAGGUGUUUUUCUUUUUGCAGCGUUUUUCUUUUUGCAGCGUUUUUCUUUUCGCAGCGUUUUUCUUUUCGCAGCAUUUUUCUUUUUGCAGCGUUUUUCUUUUUGCAGCGUUUUUCUUUUUGCAGCAUUUUUCUUUUUGCAGCGUUUUUCUUUUUGCAGCGUUUUUCUUUUUGCAGCAUUUUUCUUUUUGCAGCAUUUUUCUUUUUGCAGCGUUUUUCUUUUUGCAGCGUUUUUCUUUUUGCAGCGUUUUUCUUUUUGCAGCAUUUUUCUUUUUGCAGCGUUUUUCUUUUUGCAGCAUUUUUCUUUUUGCAGCGUUUUUCUUUUUGCAGCGUUUUUCUUUUUGCAGCAUUUUUUCUUUUUGCAGCAUUUUUCUUUUCGCAGCGUUUUUCUUUUUGCAGCGUUUUUCUUUUUGCAGCAUUUUUCUUUUUGCAAGUGUUUUCUGAAGUUGCAGUCCGUUUGGCCUCUCAGGGCCACCGUAAAAAAAAAAAGGCUUUAGGAUAUAAGGUUUCCUGGAAUAAUCUACAAAUUGAGCUAAAAUUGUCAGAAACGAGAGAACAGCUCUUUUGGUCAGUGUUCUUGUUUUGGUCAUUUAUUGCACACAACUCAUACAUUUGUGUUCACUGGUCUGUACAGAAUAUAGUAU